rnacentral:antisense_RNA from 1 species
GUGGCCGUGUGGUCCCACCGGGCGUCCUCGUCGAGGAGGGCGCUGUCGCCGAACCGGUCGCCGUCGGCGAGCACCGCGACACGCGCCUCGUCGUCGUACUCGCCGGCGGCGGUCAGCCGGAUCCGGCCGUGGGCGAUGAGAUGGAUCUGCUCGGCGGCGGCGCCGCGCUCGGCCAGCACCUCUCCGGCGCGGAAGUCGCGCCGCACGCACCGGUCGGCGAUCGCCGUCAGCACCUCGACGUCCUCGAAGCCGCGCAGCAGGGCCAGUUCGCCGAGUUCGCGGGGGAUCACCCGGACGUCGGCGCCGUCCUGGACGAACUCGAUCCGCCCGUCGCCGACGGUGUAGCUCAGCCGCCGGUUGACCCGGUACGUGCCGCCCCGGACCUCCACCCAGGGCAGCGCGCGCAGCAGCCACCGGGAGGUGAUCCCCUGCAUCUGCGGGACGGUCUUGGUCGUGGUGGCGAGAUUGCGGGCGGCCUCGGUGCUCAGGCUGGACUGCCGGG